rnacentral:rRNA from 1 species
AGCCGCGGUAACGACCGGCGGCCCGAGUGGUGAUCGUGAUUAUUGGGUCGUAAAGGGUCCGUAGCCGGUUGGUCAGUCCUCCGGGAAAUCUGAUAGCUCAACUAUUAGGCUUUCGGGGGAUACUGCCAGACUUGGAACCGGGAGAGGUAAGAGGUACUACAGGGGUAGGAGUGAAAUCUUGUAAUCCCUGUGGGACCACCUGUGGCGAAGGCGUCUUACCAGAACGGGUUCGACGGUGAGGGACGAAAGCUGGGGGCACGAACCGGAUUAGAUACCCGGGUAGUCCCAGCCGUAAACGAUGCUCGCUAGGUGUCAGGCAUGGCGCGACCGUGUCUGGUGCCGCAGGGAAGCCGUGAAGCGAGCCACCUGGGAAGUACGGCCGCAAGGCUGAAACUUAAAGGAAUUGGCGGGGGAGCACAACAACGGGUGGAAGCCUGCGGUUUAAUUGGACUCAACGCCGGACAACUCACCGGGGGCGACAGCAAUAUGUAGGCCAAGCUGAAGACUUUGCCUGAAUCGCUGAGAAGAGGUGCAUGG